rnacentral:tRNA from 1 species
UCCCUGGUGGCCUAGGGGUUAAGAUUCUGGGCUUUCACUGCAGUGACCUGGGGCCCAGGUUCAAUCCCUGGUCAGGGAA